rnacentral:rRNA from 1 species
AUUGAACGCUGGCGGUAUGCUUAACACAUGUAAGUCGAACGGCAGCACAGUAUGUAGCAAUACAUAUGGGUGGCGAGUGGCGGACGGGUGAGUAACGCGUAGGAAUCUACCCUAAAGCGGGGGACAACCCGAGGAAACUCGGGCUAAUACCGCAUAAUCUCGAGAGAGUAAAGCUGGGGCAACCUGACACUUCAGGAGGAGCCUGCGUCCGAUUAGCUAGUUGGUGAGGUAAAGGCUCACCAAGGCGAUGAUCGGUAGCUGGUCUGAGAGGAUGAUCAGCCACACUGGGACUGAGACACGGCCCAGACUCCUACGGGAGGCAGCAGUGGGGAAUAUUGGACAAUGGGGGCAACCCUGAUCCAGCAAUACCGCGUGUGUGAAGAAGGCCUUAGGGUUGUAAAGCACUUUAGUUGGGGAAGAAGGAUAGUUGUUUAAGAGAUGAUUAUUUUGACGGUACCCAAAGAAUAAGCACCGGCUAACUCUGUGCCAGCCGCCGCGGUAA